AGUUCCAUUAGCGUAUGUUAAAGUUGUUCCGGUUAAAAAGCUCGUAGUUGGAUUUCUGCCCAGAACGACCGGUCCGCCUUCUGGGUGAGCAUCUGGCUCGGCCUGGGCAUCUUCUUGGAUACACCAGCUGCACUUGACUGUGUGGUGCGGUAUCCAAGACAUUUACUUUGAGGAAAUUAACGUGUUUCAAACAAGCAUACGCCUUCAAUACAUUAGCAUGGAGUAAUAAGAUAAAGCCUCGGUUCUAUUUUGUUGGUUUCCAGAGCCGAGGUAAUGAUUAAUAGAUAGGGAUAGUUGGGGGCAUUCGUAUUGAAUUGUCAGAGGUGAGAUUCUUGAAUUUGCUAAAGACGGACUACAGCGAACGCAUUUGCCAAGGAUGUGCUGAUUGAUCAAGAACGAAA
rnacentral:rRNA from 1 species